GUCUGCGAACAAAAUUUAAAUGCAUAUGUAGCUUACCAGUUAUGGGCUAGUAAAUGAAGACAACAGCAGAAGAGGAAUUAGCGUAAAAUCAGAAGAGAAGAAAGGUUCCCUAGCUUGAACUCAAAUUUCAGGUUACGCAGCCGAAGGGCUACCCUGGAAUUAUAACCACGGAUCUGGUACAUGUACUGACUAUACCAUGAUCUAGCAUAAACUACCAGGAUAUUUUACCAUUCAAUCAGAAAGUUUUAGUCCAUAAGAACUCAGUUCAUGUAGCAAUCUAUUUAUUUCCAUGGAUGACGGCUACGAUGAUGCAGCACAUGAACUACUAGGAUAUUUAUCUAAUGCCCAAAUGAAAUAAAAGAAAAUCAUAAUGAAGUGUCAUUUCAAUUCCAAUUCUUGUUCUUACCUUUUAAUGGAAACAGUCCUCUUUCUUUGAGCUCUUUAUAUUGCUUAAGCCCCAUGAAAGUGCAAGCAGAGAUAGAAAAGAACAAGGCAACAGGAAUUCCAUGCCUCUCAGCAGCAGUGAUGGCAGCUGGCACAAAUCCAUCAGAUACAAUGCAAGUCACUUGAGGAACAGCAGCAGAUGCUGUAUCAUUGAGCUUGGCAAGCAAUUCAUUAAAUGGAGCUAGCAAGUUCUUCUUGCAAGCCUCCAAAAUUGCUUGUGUAUCUUGGGUAGCAUUCUCAUCUGAAGGAGGGAGGCCAUCUGGGAUAGAUUCGAACCGAAAGUCGGGCAAGCCAUUCAGGGAAUAAGGACCUCUAGAUUUAAGCAUGCGUCUGUGGUUGAACUCUGUGUUCACAAAGGUUAUGCGAAAACCUCGGUAAUGCAGUAGUUUUGCUAGUUUAAGCAUUGCCUUUACAUGGCUUUGAGCUGGACAGGGAAUACAGAUUACAUGAGGCUUGUCAGCUAAGAUUUUGCGAAACAUGUCUCUAGCUCUUUCCUUCUUUCUCUAACUCUUUCUUUAGAGUAAUUGUUUUGCCACUAUAUAUCGUCUGUCAAAGUGAAGCUCACACUUUACAAUAUGGAUACAUUUUCUUAUCAACAAGACUAUAUAUAAAAUAGCAGCCAAGUAGAGGUACAAAAUCUUGAUAAGAUUCAUCUAAUUUAGAGAAUAUUAAUUUAUCUACAUUCAUAUAAUUGCUAUAUUCUGUAUCUAAAUACCAUAAAAGUUUUGUGAUUUUUCUUAUUGCAUGACAAGCCAUCAAUAAAGAUAUUUCAUCUUUUUUCUCCACAAAAUUAGUUUUUCUACAUCAUUCUUUAAAUUUGUGAUGUCCCAUAAAUGAUAGUUAAGUUAUUCAACCUUUGACUUGUUAGGCGAGAUUUUUCAUGAAAAGAAGCGUGGCGUGUAGUGAUUGUAAGGGAUUCAGUCAGCUGGAACCCAAAUUCAUUGAACCAUUUGGACGUAAAUAUGAUGUUUUGUCCUUCGGGAAAAAUAAGACUAAGCAAUCAUAAGUUCAAUAUAUACAUAUACAGCACACACAAUGAAAGGCAUUGUGUUUUUGUUAUUUAUUUUAUUUUACUCAUAUUUUAAACUUUAAUUCUUUGUCUCGGUUCGAACUUAAUUAUAUAGAAUAAAAGUUUGAUGAUGAAAUUAAAAACUUAUAAAAAAAUACACUGUUGAAAUCCAAGGUAUAAGAGGAUGAGCAGUAAUGAACAUCGAAAAUUGCUAAAGGAAAACCUUGGCUCUUUUAGUUUUUACUAUAAUAAAAUAAAAUUAUAAUAAUUUCUCAAUCUGCAGCCAUUUAAAGGGAGUGAAUCUAAAAGUAAAUUGAUGAAAAUAUUGUCUGUCGAGCAAAGAGCAGCUACACAGCUAGUUCUUGAUAUAAAUUAAAACUACGUUUUUUUUUUUUUAUAAAUUUAAUAAAACAUUGACUAGAUUGCUUAGGUCGCAAAUUCUCAUCAAAUCACUCAAGUUUCAUCGAUCAACUUCUUCAACCAUUCAAAACCAAACUAAGCUAGGGCUGAACUCCAAGUUAACGGAUCAUAGAAUGAAACCACUGAGUUAAGAUUUUAUAACUAUGCUGUCUAUUAUAAAAGAAACGAAGGAGGACAGAUCAAUUUCGGGCGGGUUUCAGAAAGCGGUGCAAACCGUGCUUCUUUGAUGUGGGUUUCGUGUAGUUCUUCCCUGAUGAGUUAACCACUUUCUCUACCCCGCUUAUUCCCUUUCAACAUACCCCGAAUCUAGCCUAAAAUCCGAUCUUUCUUCUCUUGUGAUUUUUUCUACUUUCUUGACUUUAUAAAAAUGUAUUCUCUCAAAGUUUUUUUUUAUUAUUUUUUUCAAGAAUCAGGGCUGUCAAUUAUUAACUUUGCAAGAGGCUGUGUCAAAUAUUAAUUUAAUUUUUUUUUAAAUUAAAAACAAGACACGGCACUGGGUGGUUGAACGUAUAUGUCAAGAUUGUCAAAUUCAUGAAUGAGAUGCGACGGAACACUGUUCUUCCAGUCUUUUAUGAUGUGAAACAAAGAAAGACAGAUGAUCGAACGGAGUUUAUAUAAUUGUAGUGGUUAAGAAUGUAGAAAUUGUCAUUUCGUCUUGGAAAAGAAUAUUAAAAAUAAAAUAAUUAAAAAAAUAAAAAAAUAAAAAUAAAAAUUUAAAUUAACCUAAAUUAACAUGUCAAACCCACAAUAUAAAUAAUAAUAUUAAAAUAACCUUAUAGAAAGUAAAUAAAAAAAUAUCACAAAAUUUAAUUUUCAAUCAAUCUAAUAUUAAAUAGUAAAAUUAAAAAAAUAUAUUAAAAAAUAAUAUAAAAAUAACCUGAGCAAAUCUAAGUUAAAGUAAAUUGUAAAAGUAAUAUAAGUUAACUUGUUAAACUUGCAAUCCAAAUUAUUAAAUUGAGAUAAUUUUAAAAAUUAAUUGAAAUAAAUUAUAAAACUUAAUUUUUAAUUAAUUUAUUAUUAAAAAACAAAAUUAAAAAAAAAAUGGAUGGUUAUAGACAUUUGCAUAGUUAGUGACAUACUUUUGGUUAGGAUGACUAUGAAGAUAGUGCGGCUUGAUUUUCAUGACUGCUACCUCCAUGAUAAAUGUUGUCAUGGGGUCAAUUUUUCGCUCUCGAAAACAGACCUCGCGCGGCAGUCUAGUCCCGCUAGACUCAGCCUUUCCCUCGUCUAUUCACUCGUGUUUUGCCUACGACUAGUUUGUCCCACAAACCCAAGAGAUCCCCACACUCUUUCAACGUCACAAGCAAGCAGAAUAACACUAAUGAAUAUGAACAGAAUCAACACAGCAGAUUACAUGAACAAGUCCCAACCUUUUCAUUAACUUAACUAAAGGAUUACACAAAGUCCAUCUUGUGUGCUAUGCACAUUUCCGUUCUCUGCUGCCUACCAGCAUAUUGCAUGCUACACAUUUACAGCCUAUCUAUUUACAAGAUAAUGGAAGUUACAAGUAUAAACUACCCCUAACUCCCUGCACAGCUGGAGCACCCAUUAUCCCAUGUUCUGCCAACUUCUUCCCCACAUAAGAAACUGUCGCAACUGCCGAUAACUGCUCCCAGAACUGCUGCAACUGCAUUGACAUGUUCUUUCACAAACCAACUACCCACUGCCAGCAAUAGGAGAGGAAUGGCUAUUCUCUCUCUCUCUCUCUCUCUCUCUCUCUCUCUCUUCAAUUGAUGAUGAUGCAAGGCUACAAUUGCUUAAAGUCUUCUGUAGAGGGACUUGAUAGAAUGAUAAUGGUGAUGAUAUCGUCGAAAAUGGAGGUUAAAGAUAAGAGAUAUCAAGGGAGGAAGUUUCAGCUUUAGAGAGAGAAAGACAAGGUGAGGAUUUCUUAUGGGAGAAAGAUAGGAAAAGAUGAAUAGUAUUUUUAUAGGAUUUAUCUCUCCACCUUUCAUUUUCUCACCAAAGACAAUUAUGAUGGCUAGGGUUUUGGAUGAAAGAGAUGGUAAAUAAUAUUUACUGUUUGUUAGGAAUCCAAUGGUGGCCUCAUCUCUUUUUGUUCUAGAUCUUUUUCACUAUUUAUAUUAUUAACAAAUAAUCUAAAACGCAUGGGGAAUGUACUUUCCCCAUGUAUUUUUUUUUUCCUGUUUUGGUUUUUAUUUUUUUGCCAUUUUCUCAUUUAUUUUUGUUUUUUUUAUUUUUUCUUUCUUUCUUUUGUUUAUUUUUUUUUUUCCCCACAUUGUUUUUCGUUCCCCCCCCCAUAUUUCUUUGGGUUUUGCAUGUUUUUUUUCUUUUUUUUUCCCAAGAUUGUUUUCUUCUUUUGUUUUUUUAUUUUUUUUAAACUAUGAUUUUUUUUAAUAUUAAACUGGUUGAGAAUUUAGUAAUGCAAUUUUUUUCUUAAACUGGUUGAGAAUUUAGUAAUGCAAUUUUUUUCUUUAAAACAUUAUGGAUUACUACAAUAUUUCCCAAAUAGUCUUUGUCGAUUUUAUUUUUUUUAUAUUGAGCUGAUUGAGAAUUUUGCUUCGUAGAUUUUUCUUUAAAACACCGUGAAUUGUUACAAUGUUUCCCCACAUGGUUUUUGUUUUGCUACAGUGUUUCCCCAUAUUUUUUAAAAAAUUAUUUUUGUCUAAUUUGUUUUUAAUAUUGAGCUGGUUGAGAAUUUAGCUUUAACUUUCUUCACAUGUUUUUCUUUCCAUUUUUUUUCAUUUUGUUUUUGCUCCUUUUUUUUUUCCAAAAUUGUCUUCUUUUUUUUUACAUUUUUGUGUGUUUUUUUUUUCAUAAUUGUUUUUGUUGAUUGUUUUUUUAAUAUGGAGCUGGUUGACAAUUUAGCUUUAUAGUUUUUCUUUAAAACAUUGUGGAUUGCUACAGUGUUUCCCCACAUGCUUUUUUUUCUUUUCUUAUGAUUUUUUUUCCAGAAUUGUCUUUGUCGAUUGUUUUUUCCAUAUUGAGCUGGUUGAGAAUUUAGCUUCGUAGUUUUUUUUCUUUAAAACACUAUGGAUUGCUACAGUGUUUCCUCACAUGAUUUUUUUUAUGAUUUUUUUUAAAAUUAUCUUUAUCAAUUUUAUUAUUUUUAAUAUUGAGCUGGUUGAAAAUUACAACUAUAUGUUUCCUCAUGAAACACUAUAGAUUGCUACAGUGUUUCCCUGCAUGAUUUUUUUUCCUUUUGUUUUUUAUGAUUGUUUCCAAAAUUUUCUUUGUUGAUUUUAUUUUUUAAAAUAUUAAGCUGGUUAAGAAUUUAGCUUUGUAGUUUUUUUCAUGAAAAUAUUGUGGAUUGCAGCAGUUUUUCUCCAUAUAAUGUUUUUUAUUUUUUCUACAAACCCACGACAAUACACAAGCAUGCCAUAAGCCUGCGGCAUCGCGCGGACAUGACAUCUAGUACAUAUAACUAAAGGGUGUGGGGAAAUCACUGUUCCCCCACACCCAAAAGCACUGUGGAUUACAACAGUAAUCCACAGUGCUUUCCUCUUCUUUUUUUUUUUGCUAACUUUUCCCUUUUUUCUUUUUUUUUCGUUUUUUUUUCUUUUUUUUCAAAAUUAUUUUUUUUUCAACCUUUCUAUUUUUUUUUAAUAUUGAGCUGGUUAAAAAUUACAGUUACAAUAUGUGAGGAAAACACUCUAACUUUCCUCGAAAAUUAUUGUUGAUUGCUACAAUGUUUUUUCCCACAUGGUUUUUUUCUGUUUUUGUUAUGUUUUUCCCUAAAAUUAUCUUUGUCAAUUUUAUUUUUUAAAUAUUAAGCUGGUUAAGAAUUGCAAUUACAAGUAAAUACAAGUUUUUCCUCACAAAACACUAUGAAUUAAUACAGUUUUUCCUCACAUGGUUUUUUUCCAGUUUUUUUCGUGUGUUUUUUUGUGAUAUUUUUUUCCAAAAUUAUCUUCGUCGAUUUUUUUUUUUAAUAUUGAGUUAGUUAGAAUUUAACUUUGUAAUAAAGCUUAAUCAUGUAGGGAAAGCAUUGUAGCUUUGCUCAUAAAACAUUGUGGAUUGCUACAGUGUCUCUCCGCAUGGUUUUUUUUUGUUAUAAUUUUUUUCAAAUUAUCUUUUUCAAUUUUAUUUUUUUAAUAUUGAGUUGUUUGUGAAUUACAAUUACAAGUCAUUACAAAUAAGGCUAAAUCAUGUGGGGAAGCACUGUAGCUUUCAUCACAAAACACUGUGAAUUGCUAUAGUGUUUCCAACAUGAUUUUUUUUCCUUUUUUUGCUAUUUGUUUUGUUAUUUUUUUUCUAAAAUUAUCUCUGUCGAUUUUUUUUUAAUAUUGAGCUGAUUAAGAAUUUAGCUUUGUAAUUUUUUUCUUUAAAACACUAUGAAUUGUUGUAGUGUUUUCCCAUGUGAUUUUUUUUAUGAUUUUUUCCAAAAUUAUCUUUGUCGAUUUUUUUUUUUUAAUAUUGAGUUGGUUAAGAAUUAUAAUUACAAUAAAGCUAAAUCAUAUGAGGAAAGCGUUGUAGUUUUUCUCACAAAACACUGUGGAUUGCUACAAUCUUUCUCUAAAUGGUUUUUUAUUUUAUUUUAUUGGGAAAAACGCUAUAGUUUUCCUCACAAAACAUUGUCAAUUGCUACAAUGUUUUUUCUCAUGGGUUUUUUUCCUUCCAAAAUUAUCUUUGUUGGGUUUUUUUUAAUAUUAAGUUGGUAGAGAAUUUAUCUUUGUAAUUUUUUUUCUUUUUAUUAAGUGAAAAGCUAAAUCAUGUGGCGAAAGCACUAUAUCUUUUCUCCCAAAACACUAUAGAUUGCUACAAAUCAUUUUGUUCAGUCUCUAAGUUUUUGAUCACCAACACAACUUUUUUUUUCGUCAUGAAAUAUUUGCUCUAUCAUACCUUCAAUUUCUAUUACUUAUCUAGCGCUGGUUCACAAUUAUAACACUAUCAAGUGCAUUUGUUUUAUAAGCCCGCGCAGCGCGUGGGCAUGUCAUCUCGUGCACUUUUAUAGCGCGUUCAGUCAAGUCCAUCGGAUGGUUCCCAGAAAGAGGAGCCUAGAAGGCUAGAAAGGUAGGUAAGCUGCUUCUGGCAAGUUAUUCCCAGAUGCUGCAAUUGCUUAAAGUCUACAGAUGGUAAAUAAUAUUUACUGUUUGUUAGGAAUCCAAUGUUGGCCUCAUCUCCUUUUGUUCUAGAUCUUUAUCACUAUUUAUAUGCAAUUUUAUUUUUUCCUCUCAAUUGCUUUGUCCCUUCAUUUAUUUAUUUUAUGCUUUGGUUUCUUUGUACUAUUUUUUUUAUAUAUAUUUUAAAUUGAUUUGAAAAAAAUAGUAUUAACAUCGACUCAAUGAAAAAAAUUAAACAAUAAUUUUAAAAUAAGUGUAUUAAUAACUAGAUAUGUUGAAAGUAAAUUUUGAAUUCUUAAAAAAAAAACAUUGUAAAUUAUGACAACGAUGUAAAUACGUCAAAAUUUUUUGUUUUUUGAAUUUCUAUUGUUUUUUUACUAUAUUUGGAUUUUUUGGAAAAAUAUUUUAAAAAGAAGGUAAAAAACAAAUUAUGACAUAUUAAAGGUUUUAUAAUGAAAAAUAAUGGUAAUUACGAUAUCCACACGUGAACAUGGAAUUAUUAUUUUUUUUUAUGACAAAAGCACCUCCUUCAAGAACUUGUCUAAAUUCAUGAAUGAAGAAGAACUACUUGGACCAGUGGCUUCCUCUGCUAAUAUUUUCCACUCCAUGGCUUUGUUCUUUAGUUCCCUACCUUUCACUCCUUCAAUCAACCCUCGCACAAGGAUUUCAACUUUAUCUCAAAACAGAACAUUAAUUUUUAUCCAGCCCAUAAUAAAGUAUUAGUUUUAAAAUUAAGAACUAAUCAUCCCACCUAGAACAAAGCAUUAGUUUUUAAACCAAGAACUAAUCAUUCAGCCUAGAACAUGACAACAAUCUGAUAUCAAAUAUUAAUACAAUUGAAUAAUAAAAAUCUAUUUUGGUGUUUUAACAAUUCUAAAUAGCGCAGAAUUAAUAAGGGCCGAGCGCCUAUCUUACGUCUAAGCUCUAUGUAUAGAAUCUUGUCUCAAUAUUCCCUCAACAAUCUCUCCUGUAAUUUUAACAGCACAAUGUUAAAUGUCUCAAUAUUCCCUUGCAUUAAUUUGAUUUUUUGCAAAUAAGUCGAUACAUAAACAAUUAUUAUAUAAUACCAUUCUUUUAUCUUUUUGGUUGAAAAUACCAAAAAGAAAAGGAUAUGUUUUCUACUUAAAAUCCUUAAAACCCAAUUACUUAUUAAUCAUCCCAUUAUUAAAUUCAUUACAAUUAUACCCUUUUCAAAUAUCAAUUUAUUCAAACAAACUCAUCCCUCCUAUUUCUUCAAUUGAUGUUUCAUUUUAGGUAGGGGUAUGUUUUUCUUUCCAAUUAACCACAAUUUCCUCGUCAAUCCAACAAUCAACUCUUCAUUGUAACACUACAAACAUUAACACAAGUAAAAUUCACUUUAAUUCUAUCAAUUUCUCAAAAGCAUUAAAUUCUUAAAACAUCAAAAUUCAUAUUUAUCAUGCAGAAAUAUACAGAAAUAUUAUCAAUCAUCUAAACUAUGAACCACAUCUUUAGUUAUACAUGAAUGAUGAAUAUAUCCAUUGAAUCCGAGAUCCUCUUUUUAUUCAGGCAAGUUUUAAUUCAGAUUUUCAUGCUUUACCUUUCUCUUCUGUAUUUCAGACUAUAUGUUUCUUCUUUUUUUGGGGCUAGUUCGCCAUCAACUUGUCGGCACCAGCUAUUUUAAUAUAUCCUAUCUUGCAAACUUGUCUAAAUUCAUGAAUGAUGAGCCUAUUGGACCUGUGGCCUCCCUGCUAAUUUUUUUUCCAAUCCAUGGCUUGGCUCUUUAUUUUCUUACCUUUUCUUUCUUUGCUUCCAUCAACUCUCUCGCAAGUUUGUCCACAUUUUCUCUCUUGACAUUGCUCUAAAUCUUCAUUCCAAUUCCCCACCUCGCAUGUGUUUGUUUUGUUGAUCACCGAAGGAUGGCCAACAAAGCCUAGGCAUGCCAGAAGAAAUGCUCUCAAUUGUUGAACCCCGUCAACAAUGUGUUACAGAACCUCCAAUCUGUUGAUGUUUAAGAACAUCUUCUUGUGGACACCAACCAGAUAUAAAGCCCUUCUCUUUAGUUUCUUCAGUGAAUUAUGGUGACACUAUUGAGGAGUCGCCAUUGAUCAUCAUGUCAGACCUUAUUAUCCAUAGAAAUGGGCGACCACUUUUAUCAAUUCCCAUUCCAAAUUCAAAGAGCCGCUGCUUUGUAGCGUCCGCUAAGAUGCCAAAAUUCACAUAAAUUACUGAGUUGGGCGUCUUGGAGUCCGGCCAUUAAUUGGAGGCACUCGGCUUCUUCUUUCCAUAGAUUACAUCCAAUUGAAUUCAAAUCAUCUUCUUGCAUUUCAUUGAGAAGUAAUAGAAGUGAACCCAUCUUGUAGGCAUGAGGAAACAUAGAGUGAAGGACUUCUCUUGCUCCGAAGCAUCAAAAGUAAGGAAAGUCCCUUCAGAAGCUCUCUCUGCACAUUCCAAGCACAAGUUAAACAAGCAAUCAUUUGGAUCUGUUGCCCGAACAAAACUUGGAAGAUCCCUUAACCUUAUGUCUUUCAUUCCUGGAAUAUUACAUUCGAGGUGUUGUUUGAUAAUACUGUUUAAAUACAAUACACUAUAACUUGGAACUUGAUUGAGGUGUGAAAUUACAAAUAAUAAAACUUUAUAAAAGAGUUAAACAAAAAAACUAAGAAAUUUUAAGAAUAAAGACCAAAUUGGAAACACCAAUACACGAUAAAAAAUUAAACAUGUAAAAUUUUUUAACGUCUUUUUUUACAUUAAAAAAAUAAUAAAUGUAAAUAAAAAAAACUUAUGCACGCAUCAAAUCAAAUAAAUCAUGAACCAUUUUUUAAAUAAAUUAUACAAAAAAGUCGUGAACGAUAAAUAAAAACGUAAUUCAAAAAAUUUGAGAGACCAAUAUAGCGUGUAAGUUUUUACCAACAUAGUUACCGAUAAAAAUAUACCGACAGUACAAUUCAUCCAUGAAUAUACUGACAGAAUUUGUUUGUCGGUAUAUAUUAAUAAAAUUAUAGAUGAUAUUAUAGUAGGAUUCAGAAAGACAAAUCGUACAGUGACGUGAUAUUAAUACCGAUAGAAUUGCCGAUGGAGUCACCAUUGGAAUAAUUUCGUCGCUAAAUCCAUAUAUUUAAUAUAUGACCUGGCGCUCGACUCUCCUCUUUCCCUCUUCCAUUUCUACUUCUUCCUUGUAAAAUUUUUCUCUGCAACAAAAUAGCUAGCCCCACCCCCUCAAUCUCAACACAACUCAACCUCCCACAACUUUUCUAGCCACUAUAGCACUCGGUUUGUCAGCAUUCGUGUUCUAAUUAAAAAUUUAUUGAGGAUUCUCCACCUUAUGUAAGCAAAUCUACCUUCUUCUUCUUUUUUUAAUUUGAACACAAUUUUAAAAUGUUAAUUUUUUUGCAUAUGUUUAUAGUAUAUGUAUUUUGUUUAGGUGUUUACUUGUUUUAUUAUUUUUUCUCAAACAAACUUGUUGUAUGAAUUUAUGAUUUAUACAUGUUAUAGUUUGUUUUGGAUUUUAUAAAAUUGUAUUUGUUUGUAAAUUAUUGAAAUUUAUGUUGAAUUACUGACUUGGAUGUUUUGUGAUGAAAUAAAUAAUGACUUGUUUAACGAGUCCAUUUUAUAUUUUAUCAAUUUCAUUUCUAAGUUGUAAUUUCCAUAAAUAUUGUAAUUUAAAAUAAUUGAAUUACAAUAUUUUUAGUGUUAAUAAUUGAAUUCCACAUGGAAUUAAAUCUUUAAAAGUAAUACAAAAUAAAUCAUAGGCAAACUCAUUUGACUUACGAUUCCAUUCCAAAGAGGAGAAAUUUAAAAUAAUACAUUAUUUGUGUCGAGAGUUUAUCAUUCUAACUUCAAAAGCACUCCCUUCACCAACUCGUCUAAAUUCAUGGAUGAUGAGCCACUUGGACCAGCGGCUUCCUCUGCUAAUAUUUUCCACUGCAUGACCUUUUUCUUUACCUCCCUGCCUUUCUCUCCUUCCAUCAACUCUCGCACAAGCUUCUCCACUUUAUCUCUUUCCGCAUUGCUAUCAAUCUCCAUUCCAACGCCCCACUCAUUGCAAGUGUACCUACAGUUUGUUUGUUGAUCACCAAAGAACGGCAAACAAAGCAUGGGCACCCCAGAAGAAAUGCUCUCAGCUGUUGAAUUCCAUCCACUAUGUGUUAGGAAACCUCCUAUUGAUGGGUGGUUGAGAACUUCCUCUUGUGGACACCAGCUAGAAAUAAAUCCUCUGUCUUUAGCCUCGUCAGUAAAUUCUGGUGGCAAUAUGGCGGAGUCGCCUGUGACCAUGUCAGGCCUUAUUAUCCAUAAAAAUGGGUGACCACUUUUUGCAAGUCCCAUUCCCAAUUCAAUCAGCUGCUGCUUUUUGGCGACAGCUAUGCUACCAAAGUUCACAUAAAUUACUGAGUUUGGUUUCUUGGAAUCAAGCCAUUGGAGACACUCAACCUCUUCUUUCCAUAGAUUAUAUCCAAUAGAAUCUAGAUCAUCUUCUUUCAUUUGAUUGAGAAGUAAUUGAAGUGGACCGAUCGUGUAGACACGAGGAAACAUUGAGUAUAGAGCACUCAAGACUUCUUUCUCCAAAGCAUCAAAAGUAUGGAAAAUCACUGCAGAACCUUCAGAUGCUCUCUCAGCACAUUCCAUGCAGAAGUUGAAAUGGUAAUCAUCUGGAUCAGUUGUACGAAGAAAACUUGGAAGAUCCCUUAACCGUAUAUCUUUCAUUCCUGGAAUCCAGUCUAGUACUUGAUCCAAAUAGCCAUUUGUUAAAAAGCUCUCGUCUGCGAACAAAAUUUAAAUGCAUAUGUAGCUUACCAGUUAUGGGCUAGUAAAUGAAGACAACAGCAGAAGAGGAAUUAGCGUAAAAUCAGAAGAGAAGAAAGGUUCCCUAGCUUGAACUCAAAUUUCAGGUUACGCAGCCGAAGGGCUACGUACCCUGGAAUUAUAACCACGGAUCUGGUACAUGUACUGACUAUACCAUGAUCUAGCAUAAACUACCAGGAUAUUUUACCAUUCAAUCAGAAAGUUUUAGUCCAUAAGAACUCAGUUCAUGUAGCAAUCUAUUUAUUUCCAUGGAUGACGGCUACGAUGAUGCAGCACAUGAACUACUAGGAUAUUUAUCUAAUGCCCAAAUGAAAUAAAAGAAAAUCAUAAUGAAGUGUCAUUUCAAUUCCAAUUCUUGUUCUUACCUUUUAAUGGAAACAGUCCUCUUUCUUUGAGCUCUUUAUAUUGCUUAAGCCCCAUGAAAGUGCAAGCAGAGAUAGAAAAGAACAAGGCAACAGGAAUUCCAUGCCUCUCAGCAGCAGUGAUGGCAGCUGGCACAAAUCCAUCAGAUACAAUGCAAGUCACUUGAGGAACAUCAGCAGAUGCUGUAUGAUUGAGCUUGGCAAGCAAUUCAUUAAAUGGAGCUAGCAAGUUCUUCUUGCAAGCCUCCAAAAUUGCUUGUGUAUCUUGGGUAGCAUUCUCAUCUGAAGGAGGGAGGCCAUCUGGGAUAGAUUCGAAUCGAAAGUCGGGCAAGCCAUUCAGGGAAUAAGGACCUCUAGAUUUAAGCAUGCGUCUGUGGUUGAACUCUGUGUUCACAAAGGUUAUGCGAAAACCUCGGUAAUGCAGUAGUUUUGCUAGUUUAAGCAUUGCCUUUACAUGGCUUUGAGCUGGACAGGGAAUACAUAUUACAUGAGGCUUGUCAGCUAAGAUUUUGCGAAACAUGUCUCUAGCUCUUUCCUUCUUUCUCUAACUCUUUCUUUAGGGUAAUUGUUUUGCCACUAUAUAUCGUCGGUCAAAGUGAAGCUCACACUUUACAAUAUGGAUACAUUUUCUUAUCAACAAGACUCUAUAUAUAAAAUAGCAGCCAAGUAGAGGUACAAUAUGAUUUUAUAUUCUCUUUUAAUUUUAGUCUAAUUAAAAUCAUUAUUCUAGACUGAUGCCGGCCGGCCAUGGAAUUUAUUGGCUUUUGUAUCAGUUGAUAACGGGAGAAUUUUCGUGGUUGUCUGAAUGUCAGGCUGCCGUACGUCACAAACGUUUGACAUUAGAAAGGCAUGAUAAAAAUAGUCAUUAAUUUAUCAUCUUCAUGUAUGCCAUUAAUCAUUUUCUUGAAGCUGACAAAUGCUAAACAAAUUUGUUUUCAAUUCUAGAUCAAAGAAACCAUCGGAGAUAGUAUAGACAAUAUUGUUUUUGGUUUGGAUUAUUAUUAUCAUCCCUUUUUCUAUAAUAAAAACUUGAAAUUCAUCAUCAAACUUCACAAAAUCUUUAUAAGAUUCAUCUAAUUUAGAAAAUAUUAAUUUAUCUACAUUCAUAUAUAUAAUUGCUAUAUUCUGUAUCUAAAUACCAUAAAAUUUUUGUAAUUUUUCUUAUUACAUGACAAGAAAUCAAUAAAGAUAUUUCAUCUUUUUUCUCCAUAAAAUUAGAUUUUCUACAUCAUUCUUUAAAUUUGUGAUAUCCCAUAAAUGAUAGUUAAGUUAUUCAACCUUUGACUUGUUAGGCGAGACUUUUCAUGAAAUGAAGCGUGGCGUGUAGUGAUUGUAAGGGAUUCAGUCAGCUGGAACCCAAAUUCAUUGAACCAUUUGGACGUAAAUAUGAUAUGGCCAACAAAGCAAUCAUUAGUUCCUCUUGCGGACUUUGACACGAAGUAUGGCCAACAAAGCAUAGGCACACCCGAAGAAAUGCUCUCAAUUGUUGAACCCCGUCCACUAUGUGUUAGGAAACCUCCUAUUGAUGGGUGGUUGAGGACUUCCUCUUGCGGACACCAACUACAAAUAAAGCUUCUUUCCUUGGUUUCUUCAGUGAAUUCUGGAGGUAAUUUCGUGGUGUCAAAUAACUAUGUCAAUCCAAUAGCUUAAACUGUUAGGUGAGGUUUUAAGAUAUGAUUUAUAUUAUUUUCCAACACACCCCCUCAAGUGAAAGCCCUUUGGACUUGAAAUUUACACAGGUCCACAUUACCUUGUGUUUAAUUUUUAUCAAAUAAAUAGGGAUGGUGAGAUUCGAACUCAUGAUCGCUUGGUCAUCAAGGCUCUGAUACUAUGUCAAAUAAUCAUCUCAACCCAAUAGCUUAAGUUGUUAGGUAAGGUUUCAAGAUAUAAUUUAUAUUAUUCUCCAACACGCGGAAUCACCAGUGACCAUAUCAGGCCUUAUUAUCCAUAAAAAUGGAUGGCCACUUCUAGCAAGUCCCAUGCCAAAUUCAACGAGCUGUUCCUUCGUAACGGUUGUUAUGCUACCAAAAUUCACAUAUAUUACUGACUUGGGUUUGUUGGAAUCAAGCCAUUGGAGACACUCAACUUCUUUUCAACAGUAAUUAACAUCAAAAAUUGCUAAAGGAAAACCUUGGCUCUUUUAGUUUUUACUAUAAUAAAAUAAAAUUAUAAUAAUUUCUCAAUCUUCAGCCAUUAAAAGGGGGUGAAUCUACAAAGUAAAUUGAUGAAAAUAUUGUCUGUCGAGCAAAGAGCAGCUACACAGCUAGUUCUUGAUAUGUUUUCACAACUCAUAUACGAGUUUACCUCAACAAUAUAUUGCUCCCUGUAUUGUACCGUGAUCUCAUUGGUUCUGCCUUUCCUCUCCUCCCCUAUUAAUGUAAUUUCUUUUGAGGGCUUUCAGCCCCUUUCUUCACACGAAAAGGUGAAAAUAAUAAUAAUAAAAAAAGCACUUCAUUACAAUGAAACCACCAUGUCACCUUGAGAACAAUACAUUCCGUAAAGAUAUCAAAGGCUCUAGUCCUACCACAUGUCAAAAGAUUAGAGAAUGAAAUGGUUAGAAUGUGUUAGUAGUUGUUAGUCUUGUUUGUCAGUUAAGAGAAUUAGUUAGUAUUGUUUAGUGAAGAAUAGAUAACGUGAAUAAGCUUCUUACUGUAGCAAUAUAUAAACUGAUAUCAAGUAAGGGAAUCCUUCUCUGCUUUUCUUCAUCUCUCUAUAGUAUUUCUUUUUAUGUGUAAAUCUUACAAUCCUAACACAUUCGUCUUCAGCUUUAACUGUCUUUAGUUUAGCAUGCUGUAUUAUUUUUUCACGACAAAAGCACUUCCUUCACCAAUUUGUCUAAAUUCAUAGACGAUGAACCACUUGGACCAUUGGCCUCCUCUGCUAGUUUUUUCCACUCCAUGGCUUUCUUCUUCAUGCUCUUACCUUUCUCUCCCUCCAUCAACUCUCUCACAAGCUUCUCCACUUUAUCUCUUUUGACAUUGUUAUCAAUCGCCAUUCCAAUUCCCCACUCAGAGCAUGUGUACCUACAGUUUGUUUGCUGAUCACCAAAGAAUGGCCAACAAAGCAUAGGCACACCAGAAGAAAUGCUCUCAAUUGUUGAACCCCAUCCACUAUGUGUUAGGAAACCUCCUAUUGAUGGGUGGUUGGGGACUUCCUCUUGCGGACACCAACUACAAAUAAAGCUUCUUUCCUUGGUUUCUUCAGUGAAUUCUGGAGGCAAUAUCGCGGAGUCGCCAGUGACCAUAUCAGGCCUUAUUAUCCAUAAAAAUGGAUGGCCACUUUUAGCAAGUCCCAUGCCAAAUCCAACGAGCUGUUCCUUCCUAACGGGUGUUAUGGUACCAAAAUUCACAUAUAUCACUGACUUGGGUUUGUUGGAAUCAAGCCAUUGGAGACACUCAACUUCUUCUUUCCAAAGAUUGCAUCCAAUAGAACUUAGAUAUACUUCUUGUAUUUGAUUGAGAAGCAAUUGAAGUGGACUGAUUGUAUAGACUCGAGGAAACAUAGAGUAAAGGGCAUUCAGAACUUCUUGCUCCAAAACAUCAAAAGUAUGGAAAAUAACUGCAGAACCUUCAGAAGCCCGCCCAGUACAUUCCAAGCAGUUUUUAAACAUAAAAUCAUUUGGAUCUGUUGUACGAACAAAACUUGGAAGGUCUCUUAGCCUUAUAUCUCUCAUUCCUGGGAUCCAAUCUACAACUUUGUCCAAGUAGCCAAUAGUUAAAAAGCUCUCAUCUGCAACAAAAAAAAAUAAAAUUGAAUUCAUAUAUUAGCUUUUUGAUAAAAGGUAAUGCUACGUAAAUGAAUAAAAAUGACCUUUUCCCUUGUUCACGGACCAUCCAAUGAACUAGUAGAAAAUCUUAAUCAAAAUAUAUAUAGUUACAUUUUUUUUUUCCUUGCUCAUACCUUUCAGUGGUGUAAGACCUUUUUCUCGGAGUGCUUGAAAUUGUUUAAAUCCCAUGAAGCUGGAAGCAGAGAUGGUGAAGAACAAAGCAAUCGGAAUUUGGCGCAGCAUCGAUAGCGACGGGCAUGAAACCAUCAGAGACGAUGCAAGUCACUGGGGGCACAUUAGAAGAUGCUGAAUCAUUAAGCUUGUCAAGCAGGUCAUUAAACGGAGCUAAUAAGUUCUUCUUGGCAGCCUCACAAAGUGCAGCGACAUCUUGGGUUUCAUUCUCAUUUGAAGGAGGGAGGCCAUCUGGAAUGGAUUCAAACCGAAAAUCGGGCAAGCCAUUCAUGGCAUCAGGACCUCUAGAUUUAAGCAAACGUUUAUGAUUAAACUCUGUGUUGACAAAGGUUAUGUGAAAACCUUUGUAAUGUAGUAAUUUUGAUAGCUUAAGCAUUGACUUAAUGUGGCUCUGAGCUGGGCUGGGAAUGCAAACUGCAUGAGGCUUGUCAGCUAAAAUAUUAAAAAUCAUCUCUCUAAUUCUUUGUUUCUUACUUUCUUUCUGUAUUUGCUCUAUGUAUUGCCUACACAAUAUAGAGAUUCUGUCCCUAUAUAGAGCAAUGCUACAAUUUUUGUACGUGUAUACACACAACGAAAGGUAAGGGUGUUUUUAUAAGGAAAAGUUGGAACUCAGAUUGAGUUUUUUUAAUUUUUUUUAUUUAAAAUGAUAUUGUUUUCUAAAAAAAAUAAAUUAAAAGAACGUUUUUUUAUAUAUAUAAAUUUAAUAAAACAUUGACUAGAUUGCUUAGGUCGCAAAUUCUCAUCAAAUCACUCAAGUUUCAUCGAUCAACAUAUUCAACCAUUCAAAACCAAGCUUAGCUAGGGGCUGAACUCCAAGUUAACGCAUCAUAGAAUGAAACAACUGAGUAAAGAUUUUAUAACUUAUGCUGUCUAUUAUAAAAGAACGAAGAUCUUCUUCCUAGAAGCGAAGAGAGGUUCAGUGUGUCCAAUCAUCACACCUUCAACAUCUCAAGGUUUUUUUUUUUUUAUCAAGAAUCAAGGCUGUCAAUUAUUAUCUUUGUAAGAGAUUAUAAUUAGUGUUUGAGAGUAUAAUAGUAGUUGUUUUUAAAAAUAUUUUUUGUUUAGAAAUAUAUCAAAAUAAUUUUUUUUAUUUUUUAAAAAUCAUUUAAAUAAAAUUUGAAAUUUUUUUCGAGUCUCAUUUUACCUUGACCAAAGAUUUCUCAGUCAAUCCUAUUUAAUAAUAUAUGAAAUAUAUUUUUUAAUUCACCUAAGAUGAUGAUUCAUCUCUUGAUCACUCAAGUGCUUAAGUACCUUCAUGUAGUUCAUGAUAUACUCAAUGUUUGCUUUUUCAUUAUAUUGAUUAAGAUAACAUGUAACAUGAUUAAAGUGUAACAUUUACCAUAUAAGAUAAUUUAGUGAUAUUAAAUCUAGAAAUCGCUUCCACAAUUAUCACAUGAGCUUUUCUAUAAAUAUAUGUGAUCUCUUCAUAUGAAAUUCUCAUAUAGGUUAGUUCAGUGUACAUGUCUUAUAACAAGUAUCUACAUAUUAGUUUUAAAUAUUUUUUAUACCUCAACUUGCAAGUUCAGUUACUUCAUUUCAUAAAUGAAAUAAUAUAAUAGAUAUCAAUCUUACGAUUUUAAUGAAUGUCUAGUAUUUAAAAGAAUAUCGACCAUAAACAUUUUAGGAACAACAUUUUGAUGCAAUAAAAAUUCUAUAAUUAUAAUAACAUUUUAGAAAUAUUUUAGGAAGAAGUUUGAUCAAUCAACUUCUUCAACAAUUCAGAACCAAACUUAGCCCCGGCUGAACUCCGAGUUAACAGGUCAUCGAAUAAAACCACUGAGUUAAGAUUUUAUAACUAUGCUGUCCAUUAUAAAGGAAAGGAGGAGGACAGAUCAAUUUCUUCUUCGUAGAAGCGAAGAGAGGUUCCUUGUGUCCAAUCACAACACCAUCAACAUCUCAAGUUUUUUUUUUUUUUUGUCAAGAAUCAGGGCUGUCAAUUAUUAUCCUUGCAGGAGACUGUGCUGAUUCACCUUUGCUGCUUGCACGUAUUUGUCGAGAUUGUACUCAGAUUCAUGAAUGAGAUGCGACCUCACACUGUUUUUCCAGUCUAUUAUGGCGUGAAACAAUCAAAGACAAAUUAAUGAUCAAACGGAGUUUAUACAAUUGCAUUUGAUGAGAACGUAGAAAUUGCCAUUUCAUCUUGGCAAAGUCAUAAAGGCAUGAAUAUUCUCACCAAAAUUGUCAUUUCAUCUGGGUUGAAAUCACGGAAAAAAUAUUGAACUGAUGAUUGCUUGGUAUUAAAUAUUUUCCCCAAGGACAAAACAUCAUAUUUACGUUCAAUGAAUUUGGGAUGAGUAUGAAGAUAGUGCGGAUUGAUUUACUUCGACGAAUCAUGUGGUUUCCUUAAUAUUUUUGUUAUGCUAAUUUUCUAAUUAUUUUUUUUAUUUUACAAAAAAAUAUAUUCAAUGCGGUAACUUGCAAAAACACUCGUCGUAUUGCUCCUUCGUAAGUUAGAGGGACGGAGCAAGUGUCAUAGAAAAUAAAUGAUUUAAUAUGGGCCAAAGGUUUUAUGAUUUCUGGGCUAUAAUGGAUCUAAGCUAAGGGACCAUAUGUGGACUAUCUGUCAAAUUAAUUUCUUGAAUCUUCGGCCUAUUUUUGUUCCGUAAUUGAUCUGAAAGGGCUGGAGGAUCCAAACAAGUGUUUGUUAUAGUGGUAAAUAUUAUUUUUUUAUUUAGAAAUAUAUUAAAAUAAUAUAUAUAUAUUUUUAAAUUUAUUUUUAACAUGAAUAUAUUAAAAUGAUUUUAAAAAAUAUAAAAAAAUAUAAAAAACAUAGCAGAUAUGCUUAUUGAAAAAACAUCAGAACAUGUCAUGGACCUCAAAACAAGACAAAGACAACAGAAGAAACAACUUAUCUCCAAUCAAAUAAUAAUUCCAGAUUUCUAGAAUUUAUAUUUUUUCAUGGCAAAAGCACUGCCUUCACCAACUCGUCUAAAUUCAUGGAUGAUGAGCCACUUGGACCCGCAGCUUCCUCUGCUAAUUUUCUCCACUCCAUGACUUUUUUCUUUACCUCCCUGCCUUUCUCUCCUUCCAUCAACUCUCGCACAAGCUUCUCCACUUUAUCUCUUUCCGCAUUGCUAUCAAUCUCCAUUCCAACGCCCCACUCAUUGCAAGUGUACCUACAGUUUGUUUGUUGAUCACCAAAGAACGGCAAACAAAGCAUGGGCACCCCAGAAGAAAUGCUCUCAGCUGUUGAAUUCCAUCCACUAUGUGUUAGGAAACCUCCUAUUGAUGGGUGGUUGAGAACUUCCUCUUGUGGACACCAGCUAGAAAUAAAUCCUCUGUCUUUAGUCUCGUCAGUAAAUUCUGGUGGCAAUAUGGCGGAGUCGCCUGUGACCAUGUCAGGCCUUAUUAUCCAUAAAAAUGGGUGACCACUUUUUGCAAGUCCCAUUCCCAAUUCAAUCAGCUGCUGCUUUGUAGCGACCGCUACGCUACCAAAAUUCACAUAAAGUACGGAGUUUGGUUUCUUGGAAUCAAGCCAUUGGAGACACUGUUGGGGUUUCCGGCACCCCCAUGCGCGGACCGGGGGUGUACUGAUAGUUGCUCAAAUGGAGGGCUAAGCACACUGACACAAUAUUUUACGUGGUUCGGCAAAACCGCCUACAUCCACGGGAGAGUCCAUAUUAUUAGAGAUAUAUAAAGAAAGGAUUACAACACAUAUGGAGGAGGAGGAUCACUUCACUCAAACUCAACUCCCAUUGCUCCCACACUGCUGCACAAGGCAACAGGCUGCUGCCCUUGGCAGCCCCUCACUUUCUCUCUUGUUCUCUCACGUUCUCUUCUCUACACUCUCUCUUUGCUCUCAAAUAAUUGCCUCUUUUAUAGGCAAAUAUGAUCAACAUUGGUGGGACAAUGAAGCCUUAAAACAUGCCACCAUUUGUGGCAUUAAUGGAGCAACCACUUGCUUAGUGGUGGGGUAUUGCCACCAAAUGGCAAUAUCCUAACAAUCACCCCCUUUGCCAUUUGUGUGGGCAAUUGUCCUCUUGCUUCUUCAGCACAAGCUUGCAUUCUGCAGCUCUUCCAAGCUUCCAUUCUGAGAGCGUCUUCAACACAACAUUCCCCUUCGAGCGUAUCAACCAUGCUCGGUCCGGAAUGAUUUUUCAAGCCUUACACCAAGGCUUGCAACACCCCCUUAAACGGAUAUUCCAAGUGCGACAGUCAUUAUCUGAGUAUCUCAGUGUGAUCACAAGCUCACCACUCUUCCAAGAGUCUACUCAUCCAGGAGUUGCGCCUGCCCUCUGUUCCACCCUAGAAACCACGCCUUACUUCUCCGUGAGUCUCUCGCUCUUAGUCGUAAGAGUCCAGGUAGCUCUCCACCUUUAACCAUGGGGGCAGCCCAUUAAAGGUUGAUCCAUAUCUGUCUUCAUACUCUGAGUAUUACAAUGCCAUUACCGAGCUCACCACCUUGACAAGAGUCAACUCGUUCCCGGAACCUGCGCAUGCCCUCUGCUUCUUCAUAGCAGCCGCGUCUUAGUGCUCCACAAGUCAUCCACUUAUUGUCCAAGGCAAAUGUCUUCUAGCUCAUUGAUCUUUAGCAUGGGAGCAAUAUCCAUGAAAGUCAAUCCUGCAUUUGUCUUCAUACUCAUCAUAGCCACUUCAUUGGCUACACACCUGUCCACUCAUAUCUAGCCAUUACAUUGGCUCUGGGGUUGUUCUGAACUGGGCUCAUAUCGUGGCCCACACACCUUCUCCUUAGGUGUCUCCGCUCGUUGUCAUACGGCGGUCUGAAAUGGGGCUCCUAUCAUGGCCUUCACACCUUCUCUAAGGCGUCUUCGCCCGUUGUCAUGGGGCGGUCUGAUCUUGGGCUCAUAUCAAGGCCUUCACACCUUCUCUCUAAGGUGUCUUCACCUUUCAUAGGUGGUCGCAUCCUCCUUCAACUGAGAUGCUUCAAAGUGGCUCCAAAAGUCUCUACCACCAUGUGCACUUAUGGGAGAGAUUACUGCCACUGACUACAUAGAAAGAGAAAGUUGCGGUAUACUCCUCGCAAUCCUCCACCUCAAUUUCUAUGUUUGGAGCUUCUGUGCCUUUCUGCUUGACAGCUCCACCUACACCAACUCUCUUUGAUGUCUUCGCCUUUCAUCAUAGGCGGUCGCCUUUUAUCACAGGCAUUUGCACCCCCUCAAUUAGGUGCCUCUGCAACAGCUCUCUUUCCAUCCUUGCAUGCAUUGGAAAGGUCUUCGCCUGUUGUCUUCAUCAAGAGCAUAAGAGACUUCUUGUUGUACAAACUUUAACAGUCUCUGCUCUGAGCUUCAUCUGGGAACACUUCUUCUCCUUGCACCUGUUGUCUCAUUACAGUACCUCGUUGGAUCCUACGGGUACCUCUGCACAAUCUCCGUGUGCCCUCGUGCAAUUUCUGUUCUUCAGAUUUCUCCCUAUUCCUUGCUUAUGUUUGACAGCAGCUCAUCCUGUCACAACACCUGUCCAAGUCAAAAAUAGGGUGCCAAUCUUUAUCCCCUUGCUGUAUUUCUCUUCCAUUAUCAGGGUCUUCAUCAAUUCUCCCUUCGAGAAAUCACAGUCACCGAAUCUAACUUCUUUUGAGAAAUCACCACUUCAUCAGAUCCUUGAUCAUACGGAACCCAACUGUUCCCUUGUGCCGUCAUCCUGCUAGUCUUCAACCGUUUCAUUACAAACUGCUAUAUAUACGAAAAUAGUACCGUAUGGAUAAUCCUUCCACUAAGCAAGUUCCCAGGAAAGAUUGGAGGGGUCACACUGGUCCCGCUUAAAACCAACCUCCUAGACAGAACUUCUUAGGCAUAUCUAUCCAUCGUACUGUCUUUCGUAUAUACACCAUUGCUAGCUUUGUUGCGCUUCUUACAGAGUGAUCUGGANNNNNNNNNNNNNNNNNNNNNNNNNNNNNNNNNNNNNNNNNNNNNNNNNNNNNNNNNNNNNNNNNNNNNNNNNNNNNNNNNNNNNNNNNNNNNNNNNNNNNNNNNNNNNNNNNNNNNNNNNNNNNNNNNNNNNNNNNNNNNNUCCUUCAAGGCAACAGUUAAAUUUCUCUCCACUUAGCAGUUCAGCACAUGUAAUUGGGUAAACAUGUGUGACAUGUUCUUCUUCAUCUCCAUCGACCACCAUGAUGACCAUCAGAUGCCUCCUGAUCGGGCAAUCUCUUUCGUUAAUUCACCACCGCCAUUUUUGGUCUCAAAUCUCAACGAUCGGACCGUACCAUUGCAUCCGGAACGAUCAAAUUAGCUGGAAACAAGUCUGAAAUCGUCCAAAUCGCACUUCAGACGGCUAAGAUUUGAUCAAAACAAUUCUGGCCUGAUGAGCGGCUCAGAUUCAAUCUCAUAUCCGGUUGCACGUAGGAUCAGCUACAUUGGAUCCUGUCCCUCGGCUCGCGGCUCGGCUCCAAUUCGGCUCGGUUCACUCGGCUCGGCUUGGCUCGCGGCUGAUGAUGUGGCAGGUGGGUCCCACUGUGCUGACGUGUCUGCUGACUGGACGCUGACAUGGUGAUUGUGCAUGCUGACAUCUCCGUUACAUCAUGCUGAUGUCAUUAUGGGCCAUGCUACUGUACAUGAUGAUGUCACAAUUACAUCAUGCUAAUGUCAUCCCUGGCAUGUCUACUAUUCACGCUGACAUCACUUUUACGUCAUGCUGAUGUCAUUCAUAUCCGGGUCAGUCACAUGGGUGGGGUCAACUGGUAUUCGGGUCGGGUCAACUCAUCCGGGCGAAGAAGAUGCGUGGGGCGCGUCUGGGCGCGUGGGCAGACGCCUUGCCGGAGAGUGAUGGAGAGUGCGGCCAUGUCCGACGUCCGAUUUUGACGCCGUUUUCACCAGUGGCUUCGUCUCUUCCUCCUCUACACAGUGGUAUGGUCAAAACACAAUUUUGACAACUUUCAUUUUUGAGCAAAAAUCAAACACCCCUUUAAACCAUGUGCUCUGAUACCAAUUGUUGGGGUUUCCGGCACCCCCAUGCGCGGACCGGGGGUGUACUGAUAGUUGCUCAAAUGGAGGGCUAAGCACACUGACACAAUAUUUUACGUGGUUCGGCAAAACCGCCUACAUCCACGGGAGAGUCCAUAUUAUUAGAGAUAUAUAAAGAAAGGAUUACAACACAUAUGGAGGAGGAGGAUCACUUCACUCAAACUCAACUCCCAUUGCUCUCACACUGCUGCACAAGGCAGCAGGCUGCUGCCCUUGGCAGCCCCUCACUUUCUCUCUUGUUCUCUCACGUUCUCUUCUCUACACUCUCUUUUUGCUCUCAAAUAAUUACCUCUUUUAUAGGCAAAUAUGGUCAACAUUGGUGGGACAAUGAAGCCUUAAAACAUGCCACCAUUUGUGGCAUUAAUGGAGCAACCACUUUCUUAGUGGUGGGGUAUUGCCACCAAAUGGCAAUAUCCUAACAGACACUCAACCUCUUCUUUCCAUAGAUUAUAUCCAAUAGAAUCUAGAUCAUCUUCUUUCAUUUGAUUGAGAAGUAAUUGAAGUGGACCGAUCGUGUAGACACGAGGAAACAUUGAGUAAAGAGCACUCAAGACUUCUUUCUCCAAAGCAUCAAAAGUAUGGAAAAUCACUGCAGAACCUUCAGAUGCUCUCUCAGCACAUUCCAUGCAGAAGUUGAAACCAUAAUCAUCUGGAUCUGUUGUGCGAAGAAAACUUGGAAGAUCCCUCAAUCGUAUAUCUUUCAUUCCUGGAAUCCAGUCUAGUACUUGAUCCAAAUAGCCAUUUGUUAAAAAGCUCUCGUCUGCGAACGAAAAUUAAAUGCAUAUGUAGCUUACCAGUUAUGGGCUAGUAAAUUAAUGAAAACAACAGCAGAAGAAGAACGAGCGUAAAAUCAGAAGAGAAGAAAGGUUCCCUAGCUUGAAAUCAAAUUUCAGGUUACGCAGCCGAAGGUCUGCUCUGGAAUUAUAACCACGGAUCUGGUACAUGUACUAUACCAUGAUCUAGCAUAAACUACCAGGAUAUUGUACCAUUCAAAUAUAAAUUUUUAGUCCAUAUGAACUCGGUUCAUGUACUUAUCUAUUUAUUUCCACAGAUGACGGCUACGAUGAUGCUGCACAUGAACUACUAGGAUAUUUAUCUAAUACCCAAAUGAAAUAAAAGAAAAUCGUGUUGUCAUUUCAAUUCAAAUUCAUCUUGUUCUUACCUUUUAAUGGAAACAGUCCUCUUUCUUUGAGCUCUUUAUAUUGCUUAAACCCCAUGAAACUGCAAGCAGAGAUAGAAAAGAACAAGGCAACAGGAAUUCCAUGCCUCUGAGCAGCAGUGAUGGCAGCUGGCACAAAUCCAUCAGAUACAAUGCAAGUCACUUGAGGACCAUCAGAAGAUGCUGUAUCAUUGAGCUUGGCAAGCAGUUCAUUAAAUGGAGCUAGCAAGUUCUUCUUGCAAGCCUCAAAAAUUGCUUGUACAUCUUGGGUAGCUUUCUCAUCUGAAGGAGGGAGCCCAUCUGGGAUAGAUUCGAACCGAAAGUCGGGCAAGCCAUUCAGGGAAUCAGGACCUCUAGAUUUAAGCAACCGUCUGUGGUUGAACUCUGUGUUCACAAAGGUUAUGCGAAAACCUCGGUAAUGCAGUAGUUUUGCUAGUUUAAGCAUUGCCUUUACAUGGCUUUGAGCUGGACAGGGAAUACAGAUUACAUGAGGCUUGUCAGCUAAGAUUUUGCGAAACAUGUCUCUAGCUCUUUCCUUCUUUCUCUAACUCUUUCUUUAGAGUAAUUGUUUUGCUACUGUCGUCUGUCAAAGUGAAGCUCACACUUUACACAGGGUACAUUUUCUUAUCAACAAGACUAUAUAAAAUAGCAGCCCUAUAGAGGUACAGUAUGGAUUUAUCUUCUCUUUUAAUUUUAAUGUAAUUAAAUCAUUAUUCUAGACUGAUGCGGGCCAUGGAAAUUAUUGGCCUAUAUAUCAGUACUUUGAUAACGGGAAAAAUUUUGUGGUUGUCUAUGAAUGUCAGGCUGCCGUCUGUCUAAAGUGUUUACUAUACAAAUGGAGCGGUAAUCAUACAGAUUGGAGUGAGUGAGAUGUGAGGAGGAUAUGCCUUCACAAACUUGAGAAGGAGUUGUUAUUCAAGAAAGACCUGCCAUCAUUUUCUUUUGAUGUAGAAUUUUUAAUUUAUCAAAAUUAAACCCAAAUUCAUUGAACCAUUUGGACGUAAAUAUGAUGUUUUGUCCUUCGGGAAAAUUAAGACUAAGCAAUCAUUAGUUCAAUACAUACAUAUACAGACAGGCACACACUUCUCUGUCAGAGAGUUAAGCACAUGAAAAAAUAUGUUAGUGCAAUAAAAAUAUAUACAUAUAAGGCAUGUUGUAUAUUUGCAUACACGAUCUUUAUCACAAAUCGUGGUCCUUGGUACACACAAUGAAAGGCGUGGUGUAUUCUUUAUCUAUUUUACCCAUAUUUUGUAUUUCAGUUUAAUUUUUAUCUUCUAAUUUAAUCUUUAUUUCGAAAAUAAUAUGUAAUUGGGAUCAAAUUUAAACUUAAAAAAUUCAAUUAUACAAAAUAAAAAUUUGAUGAUUAAAUUAAAAAUUUAUAAAAAAAAUACACAGAUGAACAAGGUGAAAUAUAAGAGGAUAAACAAUAAUGAACAUAAAAAAUUGCUAAAGGAAAACCUUGACUCUUUUAGUUUUUACUAUAAUAAAAUAAAAUUAUAAUAAUUUCUCAAUCUUCAGCCAUUAAAAGAGCAGCUACACAGCCAGUUCUUGAUAUAAAUUAAAACUACGUUUUUUUAUAUAUAAAUUUCAUAAAACAUUGACUAGAUUGCUUAGGUCGCAAAUUCUCAUCAAAUCAUUCAAGUUUCAUCGAUCAACUUCUUCAACCAUUCAAAACCAAACUUAGCUAGGGCUUAACUCCAAGUUAACGGAUCAUAGAAUGAAACCACUGAGUUAAGAUUUUAUAACUAUGCUGUCUAUUAUAAAAGAAACGAAGGAGGACAGAUCAAUUUCGGGUGGGUUUGAAAAAGCGGUGCAAAUCGUGUUUUUAAAAAUUUUGAGUGUUUUUUGCUUAAAAUAAAAAAAUUAUGUUUUUAGAUUAUUUUGAUAUGACGAUGUUAAAAAUAAUUUUUUUAAAAUAAUUUUUUUAUUUUAAUACAUUUCUAAAUAAAAAUCAUUUUAAACCAUCACCACUACCAUAAUAUCGAAACAUUUUCUUUCUAAAAAUCAAGUGAAUAGAGGUUCAUGUCUAGUCAUCACACCGUAAACAUUAAGCACCCAUAGUAGACAUUUGCGAAUUUGAACUAUUAUAUAUCCUGAAGUGAGUUAAAUACAAUGUAUAUUCUUGCUCAUCUCUUCUUAUGAUGAGAAUGUUGAAGUUAAUGCUUCUUUGAUGUGGGUUUGGUGUAGUUCUUCCCUGAUGAGUUAACCACUUUCUCUACCCCGCUUAUUCCCUUUCAUCAUACCCCGAAUCUAGUCUAAAAUCCAAUCUUUCUUCUCUUAUGAUUUUUUUCUACUUUCUUGACUUUAUAAAAAAGUAUUCUCUCAAGGUUUUUUUUUUUUUCCAAGAAUCAGGGCUGUUAAUUAUUAACUUUGCAAAUAAUUACCAUUUGAGAAAGACAAGGUGAGUAUUUUUUAUAUGAGAAAGAGAGGAAAAGAUGAAUAGUAUUUUUAUAGGAUUUAUCUCUCCACCUUUCAUUUUCUCUCCAAAGACAAUUAUGAUGGCUAGGGUUUUAGAUGAAAGAGAUGGUAAAUAAUAUUUUACUGUUUGUUAGGAAUCCAAUGUUGGCCUUAUCUCCUUUUGUUUUAGAUCAUUAUCAGUAUUUAUAUGCAACUUUAUUUCUUUCUCUCAAUUGCUUGGUCCUUGGUUUUAUCUUGUUCCCUUGUUUUACACUCUGUUUUUUUUUGUAUUAUUUUUUAUAUGUAUUUUAAAAUUAUUUUGAAAAAGAUAAUAUUAACACUCAUUCAAUGAAAAAAAAAUCAAAAAUUUUAAAAUGAGUGCAUUAAUAGCUAUGCGUGUUGAAUGUAAAUUUAAAAAAUUUGAAUUUUUUUUUAAAAGACAUUGCAAAUUAUGACAACAAUGUAAAUGCAUCAAAAAUAUUUUUUUUUGAAUUUCUAUUGUUUUUUUUUACUAUAUUUAGAUUUUUUGGAAAAAUAUUUUUAAAAGAAAGUAAAAAUUAAAUUAUGACAUAUUAAAGGUUUUUUUAAUGAAAAAUAAUGGUAAUUACGAUAUCCACACAUGAACAUGGAAUUAUUAUUUUUUAUGACAAAAGCACAGCCUUCAACAACUUGUCUAAAUUCAUGAAUGAAGAACUACUUGGACCAGUGGCUUCCUCUGCUAAUAUUUUCCACUCCAUGGCUUUGUUCUUUAGUUCCCUACCUUUCACUCCUUCAAUCAACCCUCGCACAAGGAUUUCAACUUUAUCUCAAAACAUAACACUAAUUUUUAAAUCAAGAACUAGUCAUCUAGCCUAUAAUAAAAUAUUAGUUUUUAGAUUAAGAAUUGAUCAUCCAGCACAAGGCAUUAGUUUUUCAACCAAGAACUAAUCGUCCAACCCAAGAACAAAGCAUUAGUUUUUAAACCAAGAAUUAAUCCUUCAGCCUAGAACAUGGCAAGAAUCUGAUAUCAAAUAUUAAUACAAUUGAAUAAUAAGAAUCUAUUUUAGUGUUUUAACAAUUCUAAAUAGCGCAGAAUUAAUAAGGAGUCGAGCACCUACCUUACAUCUAAGCUCUAUGUGUGGAAUCUUUUCUCAAUACUCCCUCAACAAUUUAUUCUGUAAUUUUAACAGCUCAAUGUUAAAUUUCUCGUACCCUUGCACUAAUUUCAUUUUUCACAAAUAAAUCGAUACAUAAACAAUUAUUAUAUAAUACCAUUUUUUUUUUAUCUUUUUGGUUGAAAAUACCAAAAAAAGAGGAUAUGUUUUCUACUUAGAAUCCUUAAAACCCAAUUACUUAUUAAUCAUCCCAUUAUAAAAUUCAUUACAAUUAUACCCUUUUCAAAUAUCAAUUUAUUCAAACAAACUCAUCCCUCCUAUUAUCUUCAAUUGACCGGAUGUUUCAUUUUAGGGAGGUAUGUUUUUCUUUCCAAUUAACCACAAUUUCCUCUUCAAUCCAACAAUCAACUUUUCACUAUAACACUACAAACAUUAACACAAGUAAAAUUCACUUUAAUUCUAUCAAUUUCUUAAAAUCAUUAAAUUCUUAAAACAUCAAAAUUCACAUUUAUCAUGCAGAUAUAUGCAGAAAUAUGAUCAAUCAUCUAAACUAUGAUGUCCCGCAUCUUUAGUUAUACAUGAAUGAUGAAUAUAUCCAUUGAAUCCGAUCCUCUUUUUAUUCAGGCAAGUUUUAAUUCAAAUUUUCAUGCUUUACCUUUCUCUUCUGUAUUUCAUGUGAAGCUAGCUGGCACCAAUUGGUGCAGCUAAGUCAAUAAAAUGGGCACCAAUUCGGUGCCACUUGCCUUGCUCUUGUCUUUUGCAAGACAAAGGCAAGGAUGCUUGCCUAUAAAUAGGCAGCACAUCCUUGCCAUAUAUAUCACACCAAAAGAGAGAAACAAGAGAGCAAGAAGAGAGAGUGAAGGAGAGUAAUCCCACAAAGUUGUGAGGUAUUUGUGAGAUAGUAAGUUAGGUGUUUUCUCCUAGUAAUAGAGAGAUUUCAGUUGUUCUCCUAUUAGUAGAGAGAGGUUGUAAUUCCCACAUUACUUAGUAAAAUCCUUCUAUACUUGCCCGUGGACGUAGCCAAAUUGGAUGAAUCACGUAAAUUCUUGUGUGUCUAAUUUCUCAUUUUAUCCUAUUCUUUGCCUUUUAUCUUGUCGGGUUUGCAUGCCAGUAUCCUAACAGUGGUAUCAGAGCCUUCUAGUUGGUGUUGUUAAUACACAAAAGUUAUUCGUGUAUACGGUUACUAUUAACGUCUACGACACUAUUCACCUAUACGACACUAUUCAUCCAUACGGUACUGUUCACAUACGUUACAUAUUUGUGAAACAGUGAUAGCUGAAUAGAUCACGGUGAAUAAAAUGGCAGCAAAGUAUGAGAUUGAGAGGUUCAAUGAGAGCAAUUUCUCACUCUAGAAAAUGAGAGUCAAGGCAAUCUUAAGGAAAGACAAUCGCUUAACAGCAAUUGGGGAUCAGCCCGCAGAGAUCACUGAUAAUGCAAAAUGGAAUGAGAUGGAUGACAAUGCUAUUGCUAACAUACAUUUAGCAUUAGUCGAUGAAGUAUUAUCAAGUGUGGCGGAGAAGAAAACAACUAAGGAGAUAUGAGAGACUCUAACAAAGCUAUAUGAGUCCAAGUCCUUGCACAAUAAGAUUUUCUUAAAGCAGAGACUUUAUACCCUUCGAAUGGCAGAAACCACGACGGUGACUGACCACAUCAACACAAUAAGAACUCUAUUUUCACAACUCACUAUGUUGGGUCAACAAAUAGAGGAAAGUGAACGUGCAGAGCUUCUACUUCAAAGUCUUCCAGAUUCGUAUGAUCAACUCAUUAUCAACUUGACCAAUAAUAUCCUCACAGACUAUUUAGUCUUUGAUGAUGUUGCAGCCGCCAUCUUGGAAAAAGAAAAUAGGCGCAAAAAUAAAGGAAACAAAAAUAGUUCAAACCAAACAGAGGUAUUAUUGGUGUCAAGAGGGAGAUCAACGGAGCGUAGCUCCAGUGGGAGUCAAAGGCAAGGGAGGUCCAAAUCAAGAAGUAAGAAGACUGUGAAAUGCUACAACUGUGGCAGAAAAGGGCACUUCAAAAAGGAUUGUUGGUUUAAAAAGGGUAUAGAGAACACUGCAGAGUCAUCAAAACCUCAAGGAUGUGUUGCAAGCACCUCAGAAGAUGGAGAGGUUUUAUAUAGUGAAGCAGCGACAGUCUCUACAGAUAGAAAAGAGCUCACUGAGGUUUGGUUAAUGGAUUCAAGAGCAACAUGGCAUAUGACUCCUAAUCGAGAUUGGUUUCAUACAUACGAACCCAUCUUUGAAGGCUCAGUGUUCAUGGGUAAUGAUCAUGCUUUAGAGAUUGCUGGCAUUGGCACCAUCAAAUUAAAGAUGUAUGAUGGUUCAAUUCACACUAUUUCAGGAGUGCGACAUGUGAAAGACUUAAAGAAAAAUCUUUUGUCCGUAUGACAAUUUGAUAGUCUUGGCUGUAAGAUUCGAACAGACAAUGGAAUCAUGAAAAUUAUCAAAGGAGCGCUGGUGGUUUUAAAGGCAAGAAAGACAGUUGCAAAUAUGUUUGUAUUAAUGGGAGAAACACAUCAUGAGGCAGAAGCGUCAAUUGCAUCAGCCAGUCCAGCAGAAGAGAAGACGAUGAUGUGGCAUCAAAAACUAGGCCACAUGUCAGAGAAAGGUUUGAAAGUUCUCUCUGAUAAGAAGUUACUCCCUGGGCUUACAAAGGUUACUUUACCCUUUUGUGAGCAUUAUGUUACAAGUAAACAUCACAGGUUGAAGUUUGGCACAUCAACAACUAAGAGCAAAUGCAUCUUAGACCUGAUUCACUCUGAUGUUUGGUAAGCAUCGGUUGUAUCCUUGGGAGGAGCAAGAUACUUUGUAUUAUUUAUAGAUGACUUCUCCAGGAGAUGUUGGGUGUAUCCAAUUAGAAGGAAGGCAGAUGUGCUCGCAGUCUUUAAAACUUUCAAAGCGCCGAUAGAACUUGAAUCUGAAAAGAAGAUCAAGUGUUUGAGGACUGACAAUGAAGGAGAAUAUACCAGUGAUGAAUUUGAUAACUUCUUUCAACAUGAAGGUAUCAAAAGGCAGUUCAUAACGGCAUAUACUCCACAACAAAAUGGAGUGACAGAGCGAAUGAACAGAACUCUGUUGGAAAGAACAAGAGCAAUGUUGAAGGCUGCAAGUCUAGGAAAGCCAUUCUGGAUAGAAGCAGUCAAUACCGCCUGUUAUGUGAUAAAUCGAUCUCCAUCAACUGCAAUUGAGCUGAAGACACCGAUGGAGAUAUGGACUGGAAAACCAGCUGAUUAUUCUCGAUUGCAUAUAUUUGGUAGUCCCGUGUAUGUGAUGUAUAUUACUCAAGAAGUUAGCAAGCUGGAUUCAAAAUCCAGAAAAUAUGUAUUCUUGGGAUAUGCUGAUGGAGUGAAGGGGUAUCGCUUGUGGAAUCCCACUGCCCACAAGGUAGUCAUCAGCAGAGAUGUUAUAUUUGCAGAAGGUAAAAUGCAAAUGGAAGAACAUAAUAGCAUUCUAAAGGAGACUAAAGCAGUCCAGAUGGAAAAUACUCAGAAUCAUACUUCUUCUGAAGCUGCACCAGAGCAUGAAAAACAAGAACAAAUAGAGUCUGAAACUCCUGAAGUUCGACGGUCGACUCGUGAAAGAAGACCACCGGCUUGGCACUCAGAAUGUGUUACUAAGAGCAAUAUUGCAUACUGUCUUCUAACAGAGGAUGGAGAGCCAUCAUCUUUCUAUGAGGCUAUCAAAAGCAUAGAUGUAUCUAUGUGGAUGACAGUAAUGCAAGAGGAGAUUGAAGCUCUGCACAAGAAUAACACUUGGGAUCUUGUUCCGCUACCACAAAGAAGAAAGGCCAUUGGCAACAAAUGGGUUUACAAGAUAAAGCGUGAUGGCAAUGAUCAAGUGGAGCGGUAUCAUGCAAGAUUGGUGGUGAAAGGAUAUGCUCAGAAAGAAAGAAUAGACUUCAAUGAGAUAUUUUCUCCGGUCGUACGACUUACUACAAUCAGAGUAGUCUUGGCAAUGUGUGCUAUAUUUGAUCUUCACUUAGAGCAGUUAGAUGUGAAAACUGCAUUUCUUCAUGGAGAACUUGAAGAAGAAAUUUAUAUGCUCAAACCAGAGGGUUUUGCUGAAACAGACAAGGAGAACUUGGUUUGCAGGUUGAACAAAUCUCUAUACAGUCUCAAACAGGCGCCGAGGUAUUGGUACAAGAGAUUUGAUUCCUUCAUAAUUAGCCUUGGGUACAACAGACUCAGUUCAAACCAUUGUACGUAUUACAAGAGGUUUGAAGAGAAUGAUGUUUUCAUCAUUAUAUUGUUGUACGUGGAUGACAUAUUGGUAAUAGGCCCCAACAAAGAUCGAGUCCAAGAAUUAAAGGCACAGUUGGCUAGGGAGUUUGAUAUGAAGGACUUGGGACCAACAAACAAGAUUCUAGGGAUGCAAAUUCACCGAGACAGAAGUAAAAGAAAGAUUUGGCUUUCUGAGAAGAAUUAUUUGAAGAAGAUCUUGAGACGCUUCAACAUGCAAGAUUGUAAGCCAAUUUCCACCCCACUUCCAGUUAACUUCAAAUUAUCCUCAAGUAUGUCUCCUAGCAAUGAAGCAGAGAGGAUGGAGAUGUCUCGAGUAACCGUACGCAUCAGUAGUGGGAAGUUUAAUGUUUGCCAUGAUAUGUACAAGACCAGACAUUGCACAAGCAGUGGGAGCAGCUAGUCGAUACAUGGCAAAUCCUGGUAGAGAGCAUUGAAAUACUAUUAAGAGGAUCUUGAGAUACAUCAAGGGCACCUCAAAUGCUGCAUUAUGUUAUGGAGGAUCGGAAUUUACCGUAAGAGGUUAUGUUGAUUCAGAUUUUGCUGGCGACCUUGAGAAAAGAAAAUCCACUACAAGCUAUGUGUUCAUAAUUGCAGGAGGAUCUGUGAGCUGGGUCUCUAAACUUCAGACUGUUGUAGCUUUAUCCAUAAUAGAAGCUGAGUACAUGGCAGCUACACAAGCUUGUAAAGAAGCAAUAUGGAUGAAGAAACUUAUGGAGGAGCUCGGGCACAAACAAGAGAAGAUUCCUUUGUAUUGUGAUAGUCAGAGUUGACAAGAUAAUACAAGAGAAAUUCUGAAAUGUUUUUUGUAUUUUUCACUAAGAGAGUUACAAUAUAUAUAUACAUCAAGAAGUAUCAAAUCCCUUAAUUCUAGGAUCUAAUCAUCAUAAUCAGAUCCUUUUAGUCCUAGGCCUAGACAAUAAUUGAGGUUUUUAGAGAGAAUCAAGGGAUAUACAGCUAUGACAGAAAUUGAAUAAGAAAAGAAGAAUAUACUGACAGCUACAAAAGAAAAGAAGAAUAUACUAACAGCUACAAAAGAAAGACUGACAGCUAUUAAAGAAAUGCAAGAAGGAAAGGAGAUAUUGACAUCCCCCCUCAAAUUGAUGCGGGUAGGUCUAACAACAUCAAUUUGCUGCUGAGAAACUGAUGGCGUUGGCGUGUUAAGGCUUUUAUAAAGGCAUCAGCUAUUUGAAGAGCAGUAUUGAGAUGAGAAAGAGUGAUAACACCCCGAGUAAAAGCCUCCCUAAUAUAAUGACAGUCCACCUCUAUGUGCUUAGUGCGUUCAUGGUAGACCGAAUUCGCAGCUAUUUGAAUAGCACUAGUAUUAUCACCAUGAAGAGGAGUAGGAGCAGUUGGGGGGAACCCAAGUUCAGAAAGAAGACCACGUAACCACACAAUUUCAGAACAAGCUGCAGACAUGGCGCGAUACUCGGCUUCUGUAGAAGAUUUAGAGACACAAUCCUGCUUCUUACACUUCUAAAAAAUCAAGGCAUCGCCAAGAAAAAUGCACCACCCUGUGAUAGACUUCCGAGUAUCCGGGCAGCCAGCCCAAUCUGCAUCACUAUAGGAAGUCAAGGUAAGAGGAGAAUGUUUAGGAAAAAACAACCCACGAGUAGGGGACCCAAUUAAGUAUCGAAUAAGACGACGAACGGCAGCAAGAUGAAGAUGGCGAGGUGCCUGCAUAAAUUUGCUAACGAUAUGGACAACAUAGGAGAUAUCAGGCCGUGUAAUGGUUAGGUAGAUAAGACUACCAACAAGUUGCCUAUAUAAAAAAAGGAUCAGGCAAAAAGUCGCCUUCAUCUUUUCGGUAUUUCACAUUCACCUCCAUUGGUGUAUCAACAGCAGUAGCAUCCUUUAAACCAGCUAACUCAAUGAGAUCCUGAAUAUAUUUAUGUUGAUUUAAGAACAAACCAUGAUCUCUAGAGUGAACUUCCAGCCCCAAAAAAUAUGUGAGAUGUCCAAGAUCUUUCAUUUGAAAUGUACUAUGCAACAUAUGUUGAAGCUUGGUGAUCAACCCAAUGUCAUUACCAGUGAGGAUAAUAUCAUCAACAUAGACUAAGAGAAAUACCAUACGAGUGGUGGUCUUGUAAAAGAAAAGUGAUGAAUCAUAUUGACUUUGUGUGAAGGAGAAGGUGAGUAGAGUGUUGCGAAACUUCUCAAACCAAGCUCUAGGUGCCUGUUUCAACCCAUACAAAGAGCGUCUUAGUUUGCAAACUUCAUCAGAAGCCGUUGUGGACAUACCAGGUGGAAGUUUCAUGUAAAUCUCUUUCUUAAGAUCCCCAUGCAAGAAGGUAUUUUUUACAUUCAUCUGAUGUAAAGGCUAAGCUUUAGAGGCUGCAAUAGCAAGAAUUGUUCUCACCGUGGUCAUCUUAGCAACUAGUGCGAAUGUUUCUUCAUAGUCGAAGCCAUAUUCUUGUUUAUUACCAAGAGCAACCAAUCGAGCUUUGUAUCUAUCUAAAAAGCCAUUAGACUUGAGUUUCACAGUAUAGACCCAUUUACUACCAAUGGGCUUAACAUAUGGAGGACAAGAAAUAAUGUCCCAAGUAUGAUUUGCCUCAAGUGCUUGAAGUUCUGCCUCUAUUGCUUGUUGCCAGCAUUCAUGUUCUCUAGCCUGUUUAUAACAAGUGGGAAUGGAAACAAAACACAGAGUAGUAGACAUAGCCACAGGAGUUGAAAAACCAUAUCUUUCAGGAGGUUUGUGAGGUCUAGAGCUUUUAUGAAGAAGAAGUGGAUCAUAGGAAGUGGGUAGAACAGAAUCAGAUGCCACAAGAAGAUGUGAAGGAAACCUAGUGAGACCUGUAGAAGGAUCAGAAAGCAGAGUGCGUCUAUGNNNNNNNNNNNNNNNNNNNNNNNNNNNNNNNNNNNNNNNNNNNNNNNNNNNNNNNNNNNNNNNNNNNNNNNNNNNNNNNNNNNNNNNNNNNNNNNNNNNNNNNNNNNNNNNNNNNNNNNNNNNNNNNNNNNNNNNNNNNNNNNNNNNNNNNNNNNNNNNNNNNNNNNNNNNNNNNNNNNNNNNNNNNNNNNNNNNNNNNNNNNNNNNNNNNNNNNNNNNNNNNNNNNNNNNNNNNNNNNNNNNNNNNNNNNNNNNNNNNNNNNNNNNNNNNNNNNNNNNNNNNNNNNNNNNNNNNNNNNNNNNNNNNNNNNNNNNNNNNNNNNNNNNNNNNNNNNNNNNNNNNNNNNNNNNNNNNNNNNNNNNNNNNNNNNNNNNNNNNNNAACAAUACACAAAGCUUCAUGAUAUAUGAGGCUUCUGUGAGCUAUCAAGGAGAAGGGUUCGAACAACAUCAAGAAGAUGACGAUUCUUUCUUUCAGCCACACCAUUUUGUUGUGGGGUGAAAGGACAAGAACGUUGUGAUAUGAUCCCAUGACUUUGAAGAAAAAAUUGAAAUUCAUUUGACAUAUAUUCACCACCUGAAUCAGAUUGCAGAAUUUUGAUUUUGGCAGAAAAUUGUGUCUCAACUAAGGCAAGAAGGGCUUUAAACACAGAGAAGACCUCACUUUUAGAUCGAAGAAAAUAUACCCAAGUAAAACGAGUGAAAUCAUCUAUAAAUGUAACAAAGUAUCUGUAAUGUUCAUGAGAAAUGACAGGUGCAAUACCCCAUACAUCAGUAUGCACGAUUUCAAAAGGUUUCGUGGUGCGGGUUUUAUGCAAUGGAAAAGGAAGUGUUUUGCUUUUACCAAGUUUGCAAGAUGCACAAUCAACAAUAUCAUUAUUAGAAGAAGUCGAAUUUUUAUUUCCUAGUAAACCAGAUUUAAACAAGACUCGAAGUACAUGAGAAUUAGGAUGUCCUAAACGUCUAUGCCACACCUGAUUAUCACAUUGAACAUCAUUACAUGCAACAUAAUUUGACAUAGGAGAGGGAGAUAGAAGCAAGGGAAAUAGGCGUCCCACUUUAGGUCCCUUCGCGAUCAUCUUCCCGGACACUUGAUCCUGCACAAAACAACCAGAUUUGGAAAAAUGAACAUCACAAUUGUUGUCAACUAAUUGGCCAAUAGAUAUAAGAUUAGUGGACAGCUUAGGAGACACAAAGACAGUAUUCAGAAGGGCUGAAAUAUCACCAACAGCUAUGAUAGACAAGGGAUUACCAUCGGCAGUACGAAUAUGAAGAUUGCCUUUAUAUUUUUGAACAUUAUUUAAAGGUAAGGCAGUGUUGGUCAUGUGAUUGGAAGCAGCAGAAUCAAAAUACCAAGGCUUAGGAAUAGAAUUUCGGUUACCUGAAAUGCCUAAAGCAGAAAGGGCAGAAACUAUCAUUUGUUGGACCAUUUCAGGGGUAAUAGAGGACUGACCAGGACUAGGAGUAUUUGAGGAACCAACCGAGACAUUAUAGGCAGUUUCAGAUUUCUUUGGAGGCCGGAUGGAGCAGUCUUUGAUGAUAUGCCCUGUUUUCUUACAAUAGUUGCAGAAUUUUUUAGUACAAGUAGUGGCAAUGUGCCCAAAUCCUUUGCAGCUAUAGCACUGGACAUUUGACAUAUUUCUACCUCCUUUAGACCUCCCUUGAGCAGUGUAUGCAACAGGAAUUGGAGUAGAAGUUUGAGCUUUCUGUUCCAAAACAGCUUGUGUAAUGAUCCGUUGUUCUUCCCUGAGAAGUUCUCCUACACAAAUAUCCAAGAAAGGAACUGGUUGUCUAUUCAUUAGGUUGGACCUGAUUGCUUCAAAUUCCCCCCUUAACUUCAUUAAAAACUGAUCACGUUUGCUGGUCUCAUGCACACUUUGAAUAACAAUAAGUCCUUCAGGAGGUACACUUGCAUACACAAUAUCUGUGUACUCAGCCUAAAGAUUUACAAAGGAAGAGUAAAACUCUUGUAUUGACAUACUGCCUUGACUGAGUUGACCCAACUCGAGUUCCAAUUGGAAUCUUCGUGCUGUAUUGCUUUGGUUGUAAACUUUCUUCAGGUAAUCCCACAUCUCUCUAGAGGAUUUGUAAGGCUUGAGAUUGAGAAGCAUGAAGUGUUCCAUACUUCCAAGGAUCCAAGACAUAAUCUGAGCAUCCCUCACCUCCCAUUUCACAUAUUUCUCUUUCUCCUCCUCACUGUCAGGUGCAGGAACUGUCCCAACAAUAUGACCCCAUAAUUCCUUUCCCUUGACAAAAAUCUGAAACUGGAAAGCCCAGGCAGAAUAGUUCUUUCCAGUAAAUCGAACAAGAAAAUGUUCAGAUCGUUCCAGAGACAUGAUUUAACUAGAAACAAGAACCAAGAGAUCAAGUCUAAGAAAAACAGAAUAGAAGAACCAGACAAGGAACUAGAUACAAGAUGAAUUGAUUUCAGAGUUUUGGCUCUGAUACCAUGACAAGAUAAUACAAGAGAAAUUCUGAAAUGUUUUCUGUAUUUUUCACUAAGAGAGUUACAAUAUAUAUAUAUACAUCAAGAAGUAUCAAAUCCCUUAAUUCUAGGAUCUAAUCAUCAUAAUCAGAUCCUUUUAGUCCUAGGUCUAGAUAAUAAUUGAGGUUUUUAGAGAGAAUCAAGGGAUAUACAGCUAUGACAGAAAUUGAAUAAGAAAAGAAGAAUAUACUGACAGCUACAAAAGAAAAGAAGAAUAUACUAACAGCUACAAAAGAAAGACUGACAGCUAUUAAAGAAAUGCAAGAAGGAAAGGAGAUAUUGACAAGAGUGCCCUGCAUAUUGCAAGGAAUCCCGUGUUUCAUUCAAGAACAAAACACAUAGAUGUUCAGUAUCAUUUUGUUCGCGAAGUGGUGGAAGAUGGAAGUGUAGAUUUUCAGAAGGUUAACACAAAGGAAAACCUAGCAGAUGCUUUAACCAAACCAGUCAACAUUGACAAGUAUAUAUGGUGCAGAUCCUCUUAUGGCCUAGUAGAAACGUAAGCAGCAUGAAGAUGGCAAGUAUAGAAAGGAUAGAAGAAUCACAAAUGAUCAAGUGUGAAGACUUGAUUAAAUCAUCAAAGUCUUCAAGUGGGACAAUGUGAAGCUAGCUGGCACCAAUUGGUGCAUCUAAGUCAACAAAAUGGGCACCAAUUCGGUGCCACUUGCAGCACCAAUUGGUGCCACUUGCCUUGCUCUUGUCUUUUGCAAGACAAAGGCAAGGAUGCUUGCCUAUAAAUAGGCAGUGCAUCCUUGCCAUAUAUAUCACACCAAAAGAGAGAAAUAAGAGAGCAAGAAGAGAGAGUGAAGGAGAGUAAUCUCACAAAGUUGUGAGGUAUUUGUGAGAUAGUAAGUGAUGUGUUUUCUCCUAGUAAUAGAGAGAUUUCAAUUGUUCUCCUAUUAGUAUAGAGAGGUUGUAAUUCCCACAUUACUUAGUAAAAUCCUUCUAUACUUGCCCGUGGACGUAGCCAAAUUGGGUGAACCACGCAAAUUCUUGUGUGUCUAAUUUCUUAUUUUAUCAUAUUCUUUGCCUUUUAUCUUGUCGGGUUUGCAUGUCAGUAUCCUAACAUUUCAGACUAUAUGUUUCUUCUUUUUUUGGCUAGUUCGCCAUCAACUUGUCGGUACCAGCUAUUUUAAUAUAUCCUAUCUUGCAAACUUGUCUAAAUUCAUGAAUGAUGAGCCUAUUCGACCUGUGGCCUCCCGUGCUAAUGUUUUUCCAAUCCAUGGCUUGGCUCUUUAUUUUCUUACCUUUUCUUUCUUUGCUUCCAUCAACUCUCUCGCAAGUGUGUCCACAUUUUCUCUCUUGACAUUGCUGUAAAUCUUCAUUCCAAUUCCCCACCUCGCAUGUGUUUGUUUGUUGAUCACCGAAGGAUGGCCAACAAAGCCUAGGCACGCCAGAAGAAAUGCUCUCAAUUGUUGAACCCCGUCAACCAUGUGUUACAGAACCUCCAAUCUGUUGAUGUUUAAGAACAACUUCUUGUGGACACCAACUAGAUAUAAAGCCCUUCUCUUUAGUUUCUUCAGUGAAUUAUGGUGGCAAUAUUGAGGAGUCGUCAUUGAUCAUCAUGUCAGACCUUAUUAUAUAUCCAUAGAAAUGGGUGACCACUUUUAUCAAUUCCCAUUCCAAAUUCAAUGAGCGGCUGCUUUGUAGCGUCCGCUAAGCUGCCAAAAUUCACAUAAAUUACUGAGUUGGGCGUCUUGGAGUCCAGCCAUUAAUUGGAGGCACUCGGCUUCUUCUUUCCAUAGAUUACAUCCAAUUGAAUUCAAAUCAUCUUCUUGCAUUUCAUUGAGAAGUAAUUGAAGUGAACCCAUCUUGUAGGCAUGAGGAAACAUAGAGUGAAGGACUUCUCUUGCUCCGAAGCAUCAAAAGUAAGGAAAAUCCCUUCAGAAGCUCUCUCUGCACAUUACAAGCACAAGUUAAACAAGCAAUCAUUUUGGAUCUGUUGCAAGAACAAAACUUGGAAGAUCCCUUAGGAAUAUUACAUUCGAGGUGUUGUUUGAUAAUACUGUUUAAAUACAAUACACUAUCAACUUGGAACUUGAUUGAGGUGUGAAAUUACAAAUAACAAAACUUUAUAAAAAAAUUAAACAAAAAAACUAAGAAAUUUUAAGAAUAAAAAUUAAAUUGAAAACAUCAAUAUAUAAUAAAAAAUUAAACAUGUUUUUUAACGUGUUUUUUUACAUUAAAAAAAUAAUAAAUAUAAAUAAAAAAAAUUAUGCACGCAUCAAAUCAAAUAAAUCAUGAACCAUUUUAUAAAUAAAUUACACAAAAAAAUCAUUAACAAUAAAUAAAAACAUAAUUUGACUUUCAAUUCCAUUCCAAAGAGGAGAAAUUUAAAAUAAUACAUUAUUUGUGUCAAGAGUUUUCAUCUGUUUGGGGGGCUGCACAACGGCAAGUCCAACCAUGUUCAUCAUUCUAACUUCAAACCUGCCAAUAUGUAGACUGCUAAGCCGGCUAAGUAUAAAUCUAACUUAGUAUAAAUCAAAGUGAUUCGCUAUAGAAUGUGAGAAAAGACAUCCUCUUAUUUUUCUAUCAGCCACGUGAUUAGCUUCCUGCAAGAUAUGUGAGAAAAGUCUCACAACCCAUGCGAGGGGAGAAACGAGCAAGGAUGAAGAUCUCAACAGUACUUCAAUUCAAUUGCAUUGUGUGUUAGUUUCUCUUCUAUUAUGAAUUUCUACAGGGAAUGCUCUAGGCCUUGGAAUUUAUAUUUUUUUCAUGGCAAAAGCACUGCCUUCACCAACUCGUCUAAAUUCAUGGAUGACGAGCCACUUGGACCAGCGGCUUCCUCUGCUAAUUUUCUCCACUCCAUGACUUUUUUCUUUACCUCCCUGCCUUUCUCUCCUUCCAUCAACUCUCGCACAAGCUUCUCCACUUUAUCUCUUUCCGCAUUGCUAUCAAUCUCCAUUCCAAUGCCCCACUCAUUGCAAGUGUACCUACAGUUUGUUUGUUGAUCACCAAAGAACGGCAAACAAAGCAUGGGCACCCCAGAAGAAAUGCUCUCAGCUGUUGAAUUCCAUCCACUAUGUGUUAGGAAACCUCCUAUUGAUGGGUGGUUGAGAACUUCCUCUUGUGGACACCAGCUAGAAAUAAAUCCUCUGUCUUUAGUCUCGUCAGUAAAUUCUGGUGGCAAUAUGGCGGAGUCGCCUAUGACCAUGUCAGGCCUUAAUAUCCAUAAAAAUGGGUGACCACUUUUUGCAAGUCCCAUUCCCAAUUCAAUCAGCUGCUGCUUUGUAGCGACGGCUAUGCUACCAAAGUUCACAUAAAUUACUGAGUUUGGUUUCUUGGAAUCAAGCCAUUGGAGACACUCAACCUCUUCUUUCCAUAGAUUAUAUCCAAUAGAAUCUAGAUCAUCUUCUUUCAUUUGAUUGAGAAGUAAUUGAAGUGGACCGAUCGUGUAGACACGAGGAAACAUUGAGUAAAGAGCACUCAAGACUUCUUUCUCCAAAGCAUCAAAAGUAUGGAAAAUCACUGCAGAACCUUCAGAUGCUCUCUCAGCACAUUCCAUGCAGAAGUUGAAACCAUAAUCAUCUGGAUCUGUUGUGCGAAGAAAACUUGGAAGAUCCCUCAAUCGUAUAUCUUUCAUUCCUGGAAUCCAGUCUAGUACUUGAUCCAAAUAGCCAUUUGUUAAAAAGCUCUCGUCUGCGAACAAAAAUUAAAUGCAUAUGUAGCUUACCAGUUAUGGGCUAGUAAAUUAAUGAAAACAACAGCAGAAGAAGAACGAGCGUAAAAUCAGAAGAGAAGAAAGGUUCCCUAGCUUGAAAUCAAAUUUCAGGUUACGCAGCCGAAGGUCUGCUCUGGAAUUAUAACCACGGAUCUGGUACAUGUACUAUACCAUGAUCUAGCAUAAACUACCAGGAUAUUGUACCAUUCAAAUAUAAAUUUUUAGUCCAUAUGAACUCGGUUCAUGUACUUAUCUAUUUAUUUCCACAGAUGACGGCUACGAUGAUGCUGCACAUGAACUACUAGGAUAUUUAUCUAAUACCCAAAUGAAAUAAAAGAAAAUCGUAAUGAAGUUGUCAUUUCAAUUCCAAUUCUUGUACUUACCUUUUAAUGGAAACAGUCCUCUUUCUUUGAGCUCUUUAUAUUGCUUAAGCCCCAUGAAAGUGCAAGCAGAGAUAGAAACGAACAAGGCAACAGGAAUUCCAUGCCUCUGAGCAGCAGUGAUGGCAGCUGGCACAAAUCCAUCAGAUACAAUGCAAGUCACUUGAGGAACAUCAGAAGAUGCUGUAUCAUUGAGCUUGGCAAGCAGUUCAUUAAAUGGAGCUAGCAAGUUCUUCUUGCAAGCCUCAAAAAUUGCUUGUACAUCUUGGGUAGCUUUCUCAUCUGAAGGAGGGAGGCCAUCUGGGAUAGAUUCGAACCGAAAGUCGGGUAAGCCAUUCAGGGAAUCAGGACCUCUAGAUUUAAGCAACCGUCUGUGGUUGAACUCUGUGUUCACAAAGGUUAUGCGAAAACCUCGGUAAUGCAGUAGUUUUGCUAGUUUAAGCAUUGCCUUUACAUGGCUUUGAGCUGGACAGGGAAUACAGAUUACAUGAGGCUUGU
rnacentral:lncRNA from 1 species